CUGAAUAACUAUGCCGAUCGCACAGUCCUCGUACUGGCGACGUAUCUUUCAAAUGUCUGCCUUAUCAACUUUCGAUUGUAGUUUACACGGCUACAAUGGUCGUAACGGGUGACGGAGAAUAAGGGUUCGACUCCGGAGAGGGAGCCUGAGAAACGGCUACCACAUCCAAGGAAGGCAGCAGGCACGCAAAUUACCCACUCCCGGCACGGGGAGGUAGUGACGAAAAAUAACGAGACGGUUCUCUAAGAGGCCUGUCAUCGAAAUGGGUACAAUUUAAAUCCUUUAACGAGGAUCUAUUGGAGGGCAAGUCUGGUGCCAGCAGCCGCGGUAAUUCCAGCUCCAAAAGCGUAUAUUAAAGUUGUUGCGGUUAAAAAG
rnacentral:rRNA from 1 species